AGUGAACGCUGGCGGUAGGCCUAACACAUGCAAGUCGAACGGCAGCACAGUAAGAGCUUGCUCUUACGGGUGGCGAGUGGCGGACGGGUGAGGAAUAAAUCGGAAUCUACUUUUUCGUGGGGGAUAACGUAGGGAAACUUACGCUAAUACCGCAUACGACCUACGGGUGAAAGCAGGGGAUCUUCGGACCUUGCGCGAUUGAAUGAGCCGAUGUCGGAUUAGCUAGUUGGCGGGGUAAAGGCCCACCAAGGCGACGAUCCGUAGCUGGUCUGAGAGGAUGAUCAGCCACACUGGAACUGAGACACUGUCCAGACUCCUACGGGAGGCAGCAGUGGGGAAUAUUGGACAAUGGGCGCAAGCCUGAUCCAGCCAUACCGCGUGGGUGAAGAAGGUCUUCGGGUUGUAAAGCCCUUUUGUUGGGAAAGAAAAGCAGCAGGUUAAUACCCCGCUGUUCUGACGGUACCCAAAGAAUAAGCACCGGCUAACUUCGUG
rnacentral:rRNA from 1 species